rnacentral:rRNA from 1 species
AGUGAACGCUGGCGGUAGGCCUAACACAUGCAAGUCGAACGGCAGCACAGUAAGAGCUUGCUCUUACGGGUGGCGAGUGGCGGACGGGUGAGGAAUACAUCGGAAUCUACUUUCUCGUGGGGGAUAACGUAGGGAAACUUACGCUAAUACCGCAUACGACCUACGGGUGAAAGCAGGGGAUCUUCGGACCUUGCGCGAUUGAAUGAGCCGAUGUCGGAUUAGCUAGUUGGCGGGGUAAAGGCCCACCAAGGCGACGAUCCGUAGCUGGUCUGAGAGGAUGAUCAGCCACACUGGAACUGAGACACGGUCCAGACUCCUACGGGAGGCAGCAGUGGGGAAUAUUGGACAAUGGGCGCAAGCCUGAUCCAGCCACACCGCGUGGGUGAAGAAGGCCUUCGGGUUGUAAAGCCCUCUUGUUGGGAAAGAAAAGCAGCAGGUUAAUACCCCGCUGUUCUGACGGUACCCAAAGAAUAAGCACCGGCUAACUUCGUG